ensembl:lncRNA
CACAGGGGGAAAAACAGCCCCACCUGUCUUAGAGAUUCCACAAGGCUGACUGAAUUUCCAUGAUUGCAGAUAGAUGGAAUGUUAUAGGUCCCGAGCCAAAUUAACUUGUGCUAUCUUAAGAGCCAAGGAAACUACUUCCCAAAGCACAGAUCUGGUCUAAUGCACACGUCCCAGGAGUAGCUUUAGCUUGGAGAAGCUUGAGAUCUUCGCGGGUGAGGGGGGGAGGAGAAGCAGAGUCAAGAGGGAAAUGCUCAGGAAAAAAAGCUUACAUUUCGUACUUGAUGGUCAGUUGUGUUUGUUGUCAUUUGACAAAAUUAGAAUCAACUAGAGGAUGGGCCUGAGUAUGUCUGUGAGAGAUUACAGUGACUGGCAAGAUGCACCUGCUGUGGGAAUGGAAUCCUGAACAGUAUAAACACGGAGACAAUGAGCUGAGCACAUUAAAAACUUGGUGAUGUGUGUAAUCCCAGUGCUGGGAGGCAGGAAAGGUGGAACUUGAGGGCUUUCUUGUCUGCCCACUUAGCCUAGUUGGUUGGUCAUCAUUAAGAUUUAAAAAAAAAAAAAAAAAAAAAAAAAGGGAAGGUAGUUUUGCUCCUGGGGAGUGACAGCUGAGGCUAUUAAACCCUGGCCUCCGCAGGGAGCUGACACACACCUGUGCUCACACAUACCUACACAUACACAUGCACACACGAAGACUGAAGUCAAAGCAGCCUUGAUUGUCAGUAACAGGCUUCCAAUUAUCUACUUGGAAAACCACGCCCAAUGAAACGAGCAUCGCAUGAGAAUUUACUGUUAUUCAACCAGUUUUAACAUCGUAGUGAGACAAAAUGCGUCCACGUUUCGGAGAUAGUUUCGCUCUACAAAGGAUGAUGCAGGAAGGUUUGAGGCCGGCUUGGGCUACCUGUAUGAUCUCGGGUCAGUCUGAUGUACAUAGGGAGACGCUACCCAGAAACUCAAAAGGUUCUCCUUGAAGUUUGUGUUUGUAAGGAUUUAGUUUACCUACUUUUCUCCUCGGUAUGCCCUCAACAUGGCAUGAAAGACUUUAGAAACUGGGAUUCACCAUAAUGCUCACCAACUCGGGAAUUUCCUACCACGCCUCUGAAAGGCUGGGAUUGUUGGCGUCCACCACCUCGUCAGUCGCCUACUGCAUCACUUUACAUUAAAAACUAGCAAUAGAAAGUCUUUGCAGUAACCUCACUCAGUCCUGAAAGUCGGCGCAGAGCUCCGGACAGGUCGCUCCCCGCCCACUUCUGGUUGCACGCUUCCGGUGGCGCUACGCGUUGUGCCGCCCCGGCACCCUUUCGGUCCCGCAGCAUCGCUGAGGUUCGGCGGCUACGGUCGCUCAAGCGGCCGCAGGACCGGUCGCGAUGCUCCACGGGACUCCAGGGGACAGCGGGCCUCUUCAGAGCAACUUCCGGACAUCCUGCUCCGUGGAGCUCCCGCGAAACUCGGUUCCGCCUGCGUACUGGGUGACGUGACCGGAAGGGCGGGCUUUGGCUACGGAGCCUCCAACUCGGCCUUCCGUAGGCGCGCUCUCGACUUGCUGAGCCAAUCGAAAGCCACGUUUUGUCGUAACAGCCAAUCUGAGAGGCCCGGAGCCUUUAAGGCCCUCCGUGGGCUGCACUUCGGCCUCUGUCUUGCUCGGAAGUUCUUUUGUUCGCCGUCUCUGGUGUUUCUACCGUGUGUACCUGCUCGCGUGCAAUCCGCCGCCAUCGCGCUUUGGGCGAGCAUUGUAAUGGGUAGUAGAGAGGCGGCAGCCGAGCGGAGGCCGACCUGGCUUUGGCGAUGGUGGCGCGCGCUCUGGAGGACCGAUCGGAGACCAGCGCCCGGAGGCGGCUCACUGAUGUGGAGGUGACGGAGGAGCUUUUGGUGUGACCUGGCGCCAUGUGUGUGAUACCACACGAGCUUGACCGAGCGUGCCACGCAAUCAUAAUUCAGCGAACCUUUUGCUUCGAUGAGGUGUGAAGUGGUGCGUCCACCUCUUGCCCCUACAGAAACUUGCAAGAAAGAAGCCUAUGGGAAGCAACUUGAGGCAGAGGCAGGCAUCGUGUUGGUGAUGACUAGAAGACAUACGUGGCUUGGAAGAUGACGUGAAAUACACAGGAAAGGAAAGAAGUAAAAGGAUGUUUUGCUUAAGAGUAUGCCAUUUGCAAAUUCAUUCAAUAAUUUGGAGAUUUAUAUAAGGGCCUGUUCAGACAGUGGUGUUUCUGAUUCCUGCUAAGGAAAGUGCUCCACACAAGCCUGAUGACCUGAGCUAAUUCCUGAGGCCCACAGGGUGGAAGAUGAGAGUUGACUCCUGAAAGUAUCUUCAAACCACACAUACACAAUAAGAAAAAACAAUAUAGUAAAGCUGAAACAUUAGAGUGUUGCUGUUUUAUUGAAAUGUAAAAUGGUACAAGUAAUUAUGGAACAAAUGUAUUCCAUACCUUGUGACAGUUUUGUGUAAAACCUUACCCUCUUCUAAAUGAGAAAGGGAUUAAAGUUGUCAAAAGAAUUUAACUUUUAAGUCUUUCAUUUUCUUUUAUAAAGGUUUAUUUCUGAUGGUAUGUUGUAUGUUUGUGUGCCCUCAUACAGCUGGAGUUACAGACAGUUGUGAGCUGCCUGAGGUGGGUACUGUGAGCAACAUGCUCUCACAAGUACCAAGUCAUCUCUCCAGCCCAACUUUUUGUGAAUGAAUUUGAAAGUUUUUGCAUUUUGGAGAAAAAGCAAAAGGGAGGUGUGCUGUUGUAAUGUGGCAGUUGCCAAUCAAAAUGAACUGUAACUUCUUGUCAGUUGCUGCCUGGUAAGAGGGCUAGCCCAGACACAACCUACUAGAAGUGUCCUUAUUACAUUUCAGGAACCAUGCCAAAUAGGGUGGCUGCCCAAUACAACCAGGUAGUUUGUCUUCAGAUCCAAUUGUACUGCUGUCUGUCCGGUUCAUUUGUAGUAUACUUAAUAAACAUAGUUUUCUACUAUUCUGACUUGGGUGAGUUCUUUUACUGUCUGCUACUCCAAACCACAGCAUUUGGUGGCUCAAGGGGAGUGGAGAACGCAAAACUCUUAGGACUCUCCUUCAAUUAAGGAAAUAACGUCAGAGCAACAUUGGCUUUGAAAGUUGUCCAGAUGUUCAGUUACAUUCACUCUUAAGAGUAGAGGGCCAGCAGGGUGUUGGUGGCACACUCCUUUAAUCCCAGCACACAGGAGGCAGAGGCAGGCAGAUCUCUAAGUUUGAGGCCAGCCUGGUCUCCAGAUCCAGUGCCAGGAUAGGCUCCAAAGCUACACAGAGAAACCCUGUCUCAAGAAAACUAAAAAGAAAAAAAAAGUUGAGGGCCAAUGCCCCUGGUUUUAGUAGGAGAAUGAAUGUUCCUGGUAAAAUCUGUGGUUAUGUCCAAGGGUUAAACUGCCUUGCCUUGUCUGAUAGAAGACCUUAAUUGUCAGGCAGCUUAUCCAGAGAAAAUCUGCACAUUGGCCCAUCUUUAUCUACUUUUUCAGGCUUAUCAGGAGUUGGCAGCCACUGAGAAGCAGUAGUAUAUCUGGUUACCCGACUGAGGCCAUACCUUAGAAACCUCAGUUUUUGUUAUUCCUUUUAUGUCUUCCCUUCUGGCCUUCAUUCUGACACUAAUGUCAUCUGAGGAUUUCAUGACAUCUGAUCUGAGAACUGGGAAACCUUAGGUUUCUUGCCAUUUAGCUGUCUGCCCUUGUCAGUAGUUUUCAGUAAGAUAAAACUAGCUGACCUGUUGGACCUGCCUGAAAAGGCACGAGAACUGAGAAAGACAAAAGGUAGUAGAGUCCAGAGGUUUGGACCCUUAUUAUCUUGGAGACACCUUAUUAGUAAUUAGGGUCGCUGAUCCCCUUUUAUCAGGUGUCAGGCCUCUAUUAUUGUAGACUCAUCAUUGAGAUGUUAGUUUCUGGAGCUUCCUUAAAACACCACCAUGUCACCACUGGGAGAUGGUGCACACAGGCCUUUAAUACCAGCACUGCAGAGGCAGGUGGGUCUCCAAGUUCCAGGCCAGCCUGGUCUAC